ensembl:lncRNA
GGUUUGGUUUUGGGGUAGGCAGAAUGCCUGUGGAUAGACUCAGGCUCCGGGCGCGUAGAAACUCUGAACCCGCCAUCGAAAUCUUUAAGGACGGAGAGUGUGAGGGAGGAUUCCAAGUUCCUAUUUCUAUGCAAGGCCUUGGGUUCUGUAUAAAUGGAGUUUUGACGGCUCAUUUCCGACUCUUGGCAAGGGACUCUUCUCUGGGUUGUUCGAUAGUCUGUAUGGCUGCGGCUGCUGCUGUAUUCUGGACUGGGGGGUCUCUUUGGAGAUCUGGUACCAGCAGCAGUGGAACUCUUUUGAAUGGGCUCGGUUUGGACUGCAGCAUCCUUCGGGUAAACCAAACUCCUACGGCGACCUCUAACCCCUUGGGGACACUGGACCUUGGAGGGUGGGUCAUCUUCUAAAAUUGUCAAGUUAUCCUUCUGGUCUACAAAACUCAACCGGCGAGACGAUUUGGCAUCUGAAAGUACGGAGUAGCGAUUGCUGGCAUCACGCCCUGGCUUGCUCUCACCCCCUCUCCUAGUUGAUUCCUCUCUGGAUGGACUAACGUUCCGUGGCACCUGGACAUCAAAGGGAGCUGACCCCUGGGCUUGCUGCAUCUUUUGAGGAAGAGAGAUGUGGCGAAAAGGAUAAAAGUGGAAGAGUAGUUACAGGUCAGCUAUCUGGAGGACACUGAAGGGCCGCUCCUGCAACACACCUAAGUGCCCGGGCUAGCAGUUGAAUCAGAGCUACAGCUGCUGGCUUAGGCCGCUGCCAUAGCAACACGGGAUCUGAGCCGCAUCUGUGACCUACACUGCAGUUUGCAGCAACACUGGAUCCUUAGCCCACUGAGCAAGACCAGGGAUCUAACCUGCAUCUUUGCUCUAAUCAUUUUUUUAUGGCCACACCCAUGACGUGGAAGUUCACAAGCCAGGGACUGAAUCUUAGCCACAGCUGUGACCCAAGCUACAGGUGUGGCAAUGUUGGAUCCUUUAACCCACUGUCUCAGGCUGAAGAUUGAACACGUGCUUCUGCAGCAACCUGAACUGCCUCAGUCAGAUUUUUAACCCACUGCACCACGGUGGUAACUCCUCUUUAAUCUUUAUUAUUUCCUUCCUUCUGCUAUCGUUGGAUUUAGUUUGUUCUUUUUCUAGUUCCAUAAGUUAUAAAAUUAGGUAGUUAACUUGAAGCUUUUUUUUCUUUUUAUGGCCAUACCUGUGGCACAUGGAAGUUCCCGGGCUACGGCUGAAUCAGAGCUGCAGCUGUAGCCUAUGUUACAGCCACACCAGAUCCAAGCCACAUCUGCAAACGACACCACAGCUUGUAGCAACGCUGUGGCAAUCCUUAACCCACUGAGCAAGGCCGGGGUUCCAACCUGCAUUAUCAGAGACACUAUGUCUGGUUUUUAACCCACUGAGCUACCCUCUUUUUAAAAUAGAAACAUUCAUAGCUAUAAACUUCCCAUUUAGCACAGUUUUUGCUGUGUCCCAUAAGUUUUGGUACGUUGUGUUUUUGUUUUAAUUCAUCGCGUGAUGUUUUCUAAUGUCCCCUGUGAUUGCAUCUUUGGUCCAUUGGUUGUUUAAAAGUGUGUUGCUGGGGAGUUCCUGUCAUGGCUCAGUGGAAAUCAAUCUGGGUGGCAUUCAUGAAGAUACAGGCUCGAAAUCUGGCCUUACUUAGUGGACUAAGGAUCCAGUGUUGCUGUAAGCUGUGGUAUAGAUCCCAGAUGCACUUUGGAUCCUGCAUUGCUGUGGCUUUGGUGUAGGCCAGCAGCUACGGCUCCGAUUCAGCCCCUAGCCUGGGAACUUCCAUAUCCCAAAGGUACAGCCCUAAGAAGACAAAAUAAAUAAAUACAUAAAUAAACAAAUAAAAGUGUGUUGUUUAAAAAGACAACAUAUGGAAAGGGAGAAAAUAGUUUCAAACAAUGCAACCAACAAAGGCUUAAUCUCCAAAAUAUACAAACAACUCAGACAAUUCAAUGGAAAAAAAAAAAAAAAAA